rnacentral:rRNA from 1 species
ACAUCGCCUCUUGAUCAAAAUAUGAGAGGUCCAGCCUGCCCAGUGACCUAGUUCAACGGCCACGGUAUCCUGACCGUGCGAAGGUAGCGUAAUCACUUGUUCUUUAAAUGGGGACUAGUAUGAAUGGCAUCACGAGGGUUAAACUGUCUCCUUUUUCUAAUCAGUGAAAUUAAUCUCCCCGUGAAGAAGCGAGGAUAACUUUAUAAGACGAGAAGACCCUAUGGAGCUUAAAACGAAUUUACACCUGCUUUUUAUUUAUUUUACUUCCCGAAUUUGCACAAACAUUAUAGCACAAUUGACAUGUAGUUUUCGAUUGGGGUGAUCCUGGGGUAAAAAAUAACCCCCAGGACGACAAAGGGCCACCCUUGAGCCAAAAGCCACAACUUUAAGCACUAAAAAAUUAACGCAACUUGACCCAAUUAUUUGAGCAACGAACCAAGUUACCCUAGGGAUA